rnacentral:lncRNA from 1 species
AAACAAGGACAACUAAGUGUUUGGCAUCAAGGCAAACAUCUCUUGGUACAAAGGUGGACAAUUGUCCUAAAAAGGUAUAUAUGGAAUUCAAAAGAAAAUGAUAUUUGGUUCCAAAGAGAGACAAUAUGUCACUGGGAUGAAUGGUUAUGAUUGAAUAUAGAUCAUGGAUCAUGAAAGAUACGAGUGGAAUACUAAGGCAGAAG